GACGAACGCUGGCGGCGUGCUUAACACAUGCAAGUCGAACGGUAAGGCUCCAGCUUGCUGGGGUACACGAGUGGCGAACGGGUGAGUAACACGUGGGUGACCUGCCCUGCACUUCGGGAUAAGCCUGGGAAACUGGGUCUAAUACCGGGUAGGACCGCACCGUGAGGGUGUGGUGGAAAGUUUUUUCGGUGUGGGAUGGGCCCGCGGCCUAUCAGCUUGUUGGUGGGGUAAUGGCCUACCAAGGCGGCGACGGGUAGCCGGCCUGAGAGGGUGGACGGCCACAUUGGGACUGAGACACGGCCCAGACUCCUACGGGAGGCAGCAGUGGGGAAUAUUGCACAAUGGGCGGAAGCCUGAUGCAGCGACGCCGCGUGGGGGAUGACGGCCUUCGGGUUGUAAACUCCUUUCACCAUCGACGAAGGGUUUCUGACGGUAGAUGGAGAAGAAGCACCGGCUAACUACGUG
rnacentral:rRNA from 1 species